GAUAAACAUAAGAUUUUUCUUGUUCCUUAGGAAAAAGCCUCUCCAGGGAAGAACAAGAACAGAAUAAACUGUGAACUGACCAUGAUGUUGAUGCAGUUAUUUGUGUUUUUCAUCAAUGAUGAGCGAUCAUAUAAUGAUGUUGUUUUGGUCAAUGCUUCUAUCAUUGUGAUAGAUCUGACAACCAAAGAGUUCGGGUUGGAG
rnacentral:misc_RNA from 1 species